AGCGUAGGCGGGAUGGCAAGUCAGAUGUGAAAACUAUGGGCUCAACCCAUAGACUGCAUUUGAAACUGUUGUUCUUGAGUGAGGUAGAGGUAAGCGGAAUUCCUGGUGUAGCGGUGAAAUGCGUAGAGAUCAGGAGGAACAUCGGUGGCGAAGGCGGCUUACUGGGCCUUUACUGACGCUGAGGCUCGAAAGCGUGGGAGCAAACA
rnacentral:rRNA from 1 species